ensembl:lncRNA
GAUGUAUCUAUUUUAAUCAGGAGUCGUAACAUGUCCUAAAAAAUAGGCAUAAUUAUUUUCUCAACUUUAGUACAGUGCAUUGGGAGUUACAGCGUGCACUUCUCGGAGUCAUGCCUAACAGAAGUGAGCAAGAAAAGACAACACGCUUCAUUUUAAAUGAUCACUUAACACUUUAUCCCUGUUUUGUUUAACAGUUUGGUUUAAUUUUAAAAAUAUAAAGAAGAAAGCACAGAUUCAGGGCUCAUAUGACUCAUCUCUAUCCUGGAGCUGUAUCAUUGACAACAAUGUGAGACUGAGCUUUAACUCCCAAAUUAGCUUCAUUUUAUGAGUGCUAAUGAACCGUGCAGACGACAUGUACUUGUCCCAAAAUAAACCAGGUUUUUUGUCACAGAUACAUGUAUUGCUGCCAGUUCUGCCUUUUCAAAUUUAUUCAAAAUGAAACACGUGCAUAGGACUAAAACAAAUUUGUCCUGCAAAUAGAUUUAUAGCCAUGAAGUUGACCUUUUAGGUAGACAAAAGUCACUUAAGCACUGAGCCAGACCCAUUUAGCUAUGCAGUCCUCGAGGAGUCACAGCUCGGAGGUGAUAAUAUUUAAUGCAUUAGAUCAUGGAAUAAAUUCUAAAGUAAUGUUUCAAACCACAGAUUAUGAGACUCAUAAAUCGCAGCUCACUUGUUGGGAGGUUCUAAAGAGAAUAAUCACAAUAAUUCAUAUCCUACAAAUGUAUUGAACUGAACCAGUACAGUGAAAUCCCUCAAAGACUACCUAUCUCCAGCCUGACAGCACUAAGUGAUUAUGAUCAUGAAAGCAUGUUGGGCUGGAGUUAAAUUUAAUGCAUUGUAAUUGUGCUCAAAAAUGUUGUAACUAAAACAUUAUACUCAUAACUGUAUUCAGGUGUAUUGUAAAGGAAAGAAAAUGAGCUUUAACUGCCAAUGUUUGUCAUGUGUUACAAAUGUGUGCAAACAGUGUGUCUGGCAUUUUACAUAAACACACGCUUACACCUUCAUCUGUUACGUACGUGUACCACUACCAAAGCAGUCCACAAAGAAUAACAUAUAGUUUACAUCAAAACACAGUCCUGUGAAAUAUUGAACCUAUAAUAACUCUUUACUGUAAUUGUCAGAAUGUGUCUACUGUAGUAUCCCAGUUACAACACAUUUGAGUGAAUUUACAAUACAAUGAGAUAUAUCUGCAAAGUAUUCUAUCUGAAACUCAGUUCAGAUUUUUCAGUGUUUUGGCCUUAGGCUCAUACAUUAUAAACAUUUGAGUAACUUCAAAUUCUUAUGCAAACAAAUACGGUUAUUGAGCUUUUUGUCAGUUAUUUGGUUUAUUAUGUUUUAUUUUAUAUAAAAAAAGAAUGCACUAUGACUUUUACAGGUCAAAAAUGAUGUCACUUUCUGAAAUGCACAAUGUAGUAGUGUGCAUAUAGCCAUAGAAAUAGAUUUAAUAAUUUCAUACAUAAAGAUUACAUCUGUCAAAAACUCUUGCACUGCACUAUGCAUAGAUAUGGAUUAUCCUUAGACAAUCUCUGCAAACCUGCCCACUGCUCACCCCUCCGUCACCAAAAGCAUCCAUAAACACAAAAUUUAAUAAUACUAUCACAUCCCAUAACUCCUCAUUUGGAAUUCAGCACACAUGAAUAUUCAGAGGUACUUUUGUGCCACAUUUUGGAUAAUUCAUUUAUUCGCAAAAGUAAUAUAUUUUUAAUUACAUGUGUUUUUAGGGGAAUACUGAGUGGAUUUGCUUGGCAUUGUUUGUCUCAUUUGUUCGGUUCGGGGUCGCAAGAAAUUAGACAGUUUUUCUGCAAUUAGCAGUCUCUGCUUGUCUCUUUCUUAGGGAGGGAUUGAUGGUUAGUGUAACAACUGUGUAAAAAUCUGCAAGUGCUUUAGCAUUAUUAGACUGAAAAUCACAACAAAUGAAUGCAGCGAUUGAAUGGAUAAAAUGCAUAAAAUUUUGAAUGCUCUAAAGGAAGCUAAACACAUCAUGUAGGCAUAACGCCACCUAACCAGUUUCUGGGUCAAUAGCGAAUGCCUAGAAAUGUGACUUUCCCUGCAAACAUGCAGCAAAUUCACAUCAUAUGCAGUAUUAUGCACUGAACCUGUCAUUUUAAUUCAGCUAAUUACAGGACAUGGUGUUUCUGGACCUGGUCUGCAUGUCACCAAAUAUUACACUGCAGUAUUAGUCAUGCUGUUUACCAUGCUGUUUACAGUCUGGGUUUGUUGCCUUUCACGUGUUCAGUCAUUUUGUGAUUCUUUUGUCACCUGACCUGUCUCUGUGCUUUAGAAAUUCAGCAGAACAAAUGAACUGAAGUCUGCACAGAAAAUAAAAAAGCAUGUACCUACACAGCAGGUUUGUUUUUAAAGACUACAUUGCUGUGAGUCAGUGUUGAAAACAAUGUAAAACUGCAGACAUGCACAGACUGAUCCACAAAAAAUGUUUGUGUUGUGAACAGUGGCUGGCAUUUAAUUGAUUGUGUUUCAACUUUUUUUUUUACACGUGUCAGUUUUUACAUCCCAAACUAAUGCGACAAAAGAGUGGAUAAUCCAGUAUUAAAAGGAAAAUGUAUUGUGUGGGAGAUUCCAUACUUUAUUUUAUUUAUAUAUAUAUUUUUGGUUUAUUUAUUUUUUUACAGAAUCUUGCAAAAAAGAAACUGCAUAAUCGAACAACAGGAUCUGCUGUAUAUAACAGAAAUUUGUAAUCUGUUUUCUCUUGUUCAGAUUUUUGUAAUCCUUGACCAAAUGCAGAUUUUUUUGUCACAUGUAAGACUACAAAUAUUGAUCAUCCAAAAUUGUGUUAAAUUGAAAUGUGACUGUCCUGUGUAUAUGUGCAAAUGUUCAGUUCGCAAAGAAGACACGGUGAAGUCAGUGUCUUAUUCGAUUGUGUUUGUUUUUCUUAUGAAACAGUGAUUUCCUGUGUAAACCUUUGAUUUGUAAAUAGAACACUUCAUCAGCCUUUUCAUGCAAACUUGCAUCUUUUUUUGAAAAGCAAAAACCUGGUCUCUUCUUGCAAAAACACAGUACAACUAGGAAUAUGUGGGGUAAAUAUAUCUACAAUGUGCUGUUUCUUUAGUUGCUAGCUAAUGAAUAAAACAUAUGCAUUCAU